rnacentral:rRNA from 1 species
UGGCUCAGAAUGAACGCUGGCGGCGUGCCUAACACAUGCAAGUCGAGCGAGAAAGUCCCUUCGGGGAGCGAGUACAGCGGCGGACGGGUGAGUAACGCGUGGACGAUCUACCCAAGGAUUCGGGAUAACCUUGCGAAAGCGGGGCUAAUACCGAAUGGUCUGGGCAUUUUGAAAUGUGCCUGGUAAAGGUGGCCUCUGAUUCAAGCUAUCGUCUUUGGAUGGGUCCGCGUCCCAUUAGCUUGUUGGUAGGGUCAUGGCCUACCAAGGCGACGAUGGGUAGCUGGUCUGAGAGGAUGAUCAGCCACACUGGGACUGGAACACGGCCCAGACUCCUACGGGAGGCAGCAGUGGGGAAUAUUGGGCAAUGGGCGCAAGCCUGACCCAGCAACGCCGCGUGAGGGAAGAAGGUCUUCGGAUCGUAAACCUCAGUCAGGAGGGAAGAAAUGGGUUGUCCUGAACAGGGAUGGCCUUUGACGGUACCUCCAGAGGAAGCACCGGCCAACUCCGUGCCAGCAGCCGCGGUAAUACGGAGGGUGCAAGCGUUAUUCGGAAUCACUGGGCGUAAAGCGCACGUAGGCGGCUUUGCAAGUCAGGUGUGAAAGCCCUCGGCUCAACCGAGGAAUUGCACUUGAAACUGUAGAGCUCGAGUUCGGGAGAGGGUGGCGGAAUUCCAGGUGUAGGAGUGAAAAUCCGUAGAUAUCUGGAGGAACAACAG